AUUUCACUCUCCUCUUCUGCUUUCAUCAAGAGGCUUUUUAGUUCCUCUUCACUUUCUGCCAUAAGGGUGGUGUCAUCUGCAUAUCUGAGGUUAUUGAUAUUUCUCCCAGCAAUCUUAAUUCCAGCUUGUGCUUCUUCCAGCCCAGCAUUUCUCAUGAUGUACUCUGCAUAUAAGUUAAAUAAGAGCUUAAUGAAUAGCUAUUUGAAUAAAAAGAAAUAAAAAGAAACCUAUGUGACAACAUAACCUUGAUUCUUUGCUUACACUUCAGCCAGAAUUUCCUGAACUUCUCAUUCUGUUAUGGUUGCACUGAAUUUGCUGAUAAUAAAUUUUUUCUUUGGGUAAAAGUGCAAUUCAAAAUUACCAUCAUAACUUGAGUGCAGCCCAGCAGAGAAAGUUCUCUGUGCUAUAAAAGACUCCAUUUUUUGCAGCUCUGGGAUGUAACUUCUAGUGGGGGAAGCCACAGUACGUUUAUCAUAGUUAGUCUCUUACAAUGCCGAUUGCUGUUUUCUUAAGGGAUUAAAAGUGAACUCAGAUAACCUCUGAAAGUAACUUCAUCCUCUAUACAGGAAGUUGUCAAAGCGCUUUUCCAGGAGGAGUAAUAACUGGAUUUGAAAGAAACAGUAAAAGUUACAAUAAUAACAAACAGUAACCUAAACGUUUUUAAAGGCAGUGUGUCAGUUCCGGGUCUGCAUGGAGACACCCACAUCCCCACCCUCCUCAGUUUCUGAGCUACUGGCAGGGAGCCUCUGUGGAACAGUGGAAAGGGAGCUAAGGGCACAGGCAAUCUGAAAAACGGGAAGUUUGAAGGCAGAACACAGCCGGCAUGUGACUGAGUUUUUAGCAACAGAUUUCCAAGAUGCAUUCUUCAUCCUUCAUGCUCCGCAAUGCCAAAGCAUCCAAAAAGGACAACUCUUAUCCCUUAUAGAACAGGAAGAGAAGGCCUGGGAGGCAACUGAUGACAUAGGAGACUCUCCAACAACCAUAACUGAGGUACAUGGUCAUCCAUCUCUAACUCCUAUGCUGAUUCAAUUCACUUUCCACAGAUCAGGGUCUGGGUGUCAGAUGAGGAAUUAAUGAUGUAUAUGGACUACUGUGGGAGUUACCUUUAAUUUAGAAAGAAUCAAUUCAUGUAACAAUACGUAAGGACAUAUGAUAUGUGCUAUGGUGUGACACUAGCAUUCAUAAAUACAAGUUUUGCUCUACAAGAGCUUAUGAUUUAAUUCAGGAGAUAUGACACUUCAAAUAGUUUGGUAAUAAUGCAGAGCAAUAUUUCAUUUAAUCGAAGCAAAAGUCAUGCUUCACUUACAG
rnacentral:lncRNA from 1 species